ACUCCGUGGGCGUAGGACCCUCCAAGCCAGGUGCGAUAUAAUGUCGUGGUGCGCCGUUUUUUAAGCUGGUUGGAAAAGCGCAGUAUUCGCGUGGGAGUGACCCGAUUUUCCAGUGAGAUGAACCCGGUACCUCAGAUUGAAAUGCAGAAAUCACCCGUCUUCUGCGUCGCUCACGCUGGGAGCUGUAGACCGGAGCUGUUCCUAUUCGGCCAUCUUGGCUCCUCCCUCAGUUCUGGAGACUGGGACAUCCAAGGUCAAUGUGCUGGCAGAUUCAAUGUCUCAGAUGGUAAUCCAAUGUAUAAGCAAUGGACUGUUUUAUUCUUGGUGCUUUCAAGACCUGAUGCUUUGUUUUGAACAGGUUGAUACAUCUAGGAGUGAAAUACAUCACCGCUUUCCCUGCUCCCGCCGCCAUUAAAAUUGUGUUUGGCAUCUGACCACCAAGAUACAGAUAUUUCCUAGACUGUUUUGCAGCUAGGUACUUAGAUAGUAAUGAAGAUAGGGGCCACCAUUCCCUGUGAAAAUCAAGUGGGAAAGUCCUGAGUCCUUUAAUGACUUUACAGAGGACAGAAUAAACUCCUAUCAUAUUCAUGGAAGUUUUUCUAAGUUAUUUAAACUUCUCACCACACAAAAUCUGGAUUUGUAUCUGUCACGUAGUAAUUGCUUGAUAAAGCAUUUCUCUUUCCUCUGGAGAAAAAUAUCUGCUUUCUUUAAAAUAAAUGUUCCAUCCAUGCAGCUAAGCAGCUAAGGACACGAACAGCCACUGAUACAGGCCAACUCAUCAGUAGAUUAUUGAGGAAUCAUUCUCUUCAGUCAGAUCACGAUUUGAGUUUGAACUAACCAGAGAGUAGCAGAAGGAACGUUUUCUCAUUUCCAUGUCCAGAAAGAUAUAUUCCUGCUACCCUCCUGAAGUCAGAGGAUGAAAUCAUAGUCAAUACAUCUUUGCAGAUGAUUUCAUACUAGGACCUUUCAUUGGCUGAACAAAGACAAAGACAGAAAUCAAGGAAGGUCAAAGAAGCAGUCAGUUUUCUGGCACCCAAAGUUGUUGGAGAAGGGUACAGAGUCGGUAAAUAAGUCAUAUGACAGACAGGCAGUAUUUUCUUAUUUUAAUAACAAGUUUAAAAAUCCCACUUCUUGUACUUACCUUCUGUCUGACGUCAUCAGUAUUUUAAAAUGCCAACUGGGAUCAAGUUCAACACUGCAUUACUGAAGAAUCCAGAUUAUCUACAUUUCAAGUGCCAAAUGAAAGAAAGAACCCAGAAAAUAAAACAAUAUG
rnacentral:lncRNA from 1 species